AGACUCGCCGCCUUGCUGGUUCUGCUGUGCCUGUGCUCUGUGCCAAUGGCUAAAUGUCAGCUUUCAGGUAACUUUGCGGUGGCAUUGAAUGAAACCUCAAACACUGGAACAAAAACCUCAGUCCCUGGUUUGCCUGCAGCAAGUGGAGGCCAUGGAUCUGGGGGAGGAUCUGCAGGAAGAGGAAAUGCAGGUGGAAGAGGCAGACCAUUGAAAGGAUGGAAAGCUUUGAAAAGUGAGAUUUUUGAAGGUGAUGAGUCUGAAAUAAAAUAAGAUGCCCAGAAGAACCCACCCAGACCAAUCAUUUCCAAAACAGAACUAAAAGAAUGUCAUUUAAAGUAAAAUAAAGAUAAAGGCAG